rnacentral:rRNA from 1 species
GACGAACGCUGGCGGCGUGCUUAACACAUGCAAGUCGAACGGUAAGGCCCUGCUUGCAGGGUACUCGAGUGGCGAACGGGUGAGUAACACGUGGGUGAUCUGCCCUGCACUUCGGGAUAAGCCUGGGAAACUGGGUCUAAUACCGGAUAGGAGCCAUUUUUAGUGUGAUGGUUGGAAAGUUUUUUCGGUGUAGGAUGAGCUCGCGGCCUAUCAGCUUGUUGGUGGGGUAAUGGCCUACCAAGGCGGCGACGGGUAGCCGGCCUGAGAGGGUGGACGGCCACAUUGGGACUGAGAUACGGCCCAGACUCCUACGGGAGGCAGCAGUGGGGAAUAUUGCACAAUGGGCGCAAGCCUGAUGCAGCGACGCCGCGUGGGGGAUGACGGCCUUCGGGUUGUAAACUCCUUUCGCUAGGGACGAAGCUUUUUGUGACGGUACCUAGAUAAGAAGCACCGGCUAACUACGUGC